rnacentral:misc_RNA from 1 species
AAGUCGUAACAAGGUUUCCGUAGGUGAACCUGCGGAAGGAUCAUUAAGAAAAAUCUUUCUUAUAUUUUGCCUUCUCUCUCUUCCUCGCGAAGGGGGUAGGUAGGCAAAUAUAUAUCCACCUUUUGUGCACUUGACCAACUGUUCACCUUUGGCAAAAUUGAUGGGCUUUCAUUUGAUUGAUCGUCUUUUUGCCAAAGGAUUCUAUAUUAUUAUAAAAACCUAGAAAUACUUUAGCCUGAAAAUUAUUAGAGGAAAUGGUAUUCACGUACCACUUCUGAUUUCUGAAUAAAAAAACAACUUUUAACAACGGAUCUCUUGGCUCUU